AGAGAUGACAGCAGCAUCGUAACCACACCUGUUAGCGCAACCUAAUCGUUCACCAAAGGAAUAAGCUAAGCAAGGCAAAGCAAAUAAAACAGAAGAUACCGUCAAAAAAAAAGGCAGGUUAGAAACUCGCACUUUACAUGACUCUUGGUCCACAUAUAGGUGUCCUCCGUUUUUCGAACAUUCACUUUACGACACCUCGCUGUUACGAAAGACCUACAUUAGUUACCUGUUUUCACUAACAGAAGGUGUUUUCACUGUUAUGAAAAAAGGCAGCGCGCGCCCCGAGCAGCCAAGCUCCUCCCCCGGAACUGCAUUCUAGCCGGCAUUGCUUAAACACAUGCCUGUGAGCAUCUGUGCUUUAUGUCGAUUUAUUUUGUGCAUCCGUUAGCAAGAUGAGUUCUAAGGUAUCGGAAAAGCCUAAGACAGCACAUAAGGGUGUUACACUUAGCGUAAACCUAGACAUAAUAAAGCAUUUCGAUCGUGGUGAACAAAGUAAGGACAUAGUGAGUUUGGCCAAGGGUUUGUGGAAGUUGACGAAGAUGAUGUUGAAGAGGUUUUGGCAUCCCAUGACCCAAAACUGACAGAUGAAGAGGAAAGGAGAACAAUUGAAGCUGAACGCAGUAGCGAACGGCCCAAAAGUGAAUUAUCCAGGAACUGAACGUGAAGCAAUUGUGUGAGAUUUUUGCUGCGAUUGACAACGCUGCAAUGAUUGCAGAAAAGUAUGACUUUAUUUUUGAAAAGGCACUUAGGUUUAGGGCAUAUUUGCAGGAUGGUUUGAGUGCUUACAAAGAACUGUAUGAUAGAAAAAUGCACGAGGCUAAGCAGGCAAGCAUACUGUUGUUUUUCAAGCCUUCCAUGUCAGCCACAGCAGACGACAAACCUGGACCUUCGACAUCGAGGCAGGCAGACACAGAAGAUGACCUGCCUGCCCUGAUGGAAACAGACGACGAUGAGAUGACAUCGCAGUGUCCCACCACCCCAAACUCCGACACACCAUCAUCAGUGUGCUCACUGUCUUCCUGAUUCCGGUAAGUGAAACGACACUGGACAUACGUUAUUUCUACUUUACAUAGGCUGUGUAUUUUUGUGUGUUAUUUGGUAUGAUUUGGCAGGUUCAUAGCUUAAAGGUUAUUGGAAAGAGUGCUUCUGCCGAGAGAGCUUGCACCACUUGUUUCUGCCAAGAGCGCUUGUGCUGAGUGUUUUUGCUGCGAGUGCUGCCGAGAGCGCUUGCACCGAGUGUUUUUGCUACGAGCGCUUGCGCCGAGUGCUUCUGCUGAGACCGCUUGCACGAGAUUUUUGCUGCGGUGGACAGUUGCUGCAAUGAUUGCAGAAAAGUAUUCCUACUUUAUAUAGGCUGUGUAUUUAUCAGAUCAUUCCUGCUUUUACUAUAUGUUACUGUUAUUUUAGGUUUUAUGUGUUAUUUGGCAUGAUUUAGUAGGUUAUUUUCGGUCUGCGAACACUCUCAAAUUUUUGCCAUAUAAAUAAAUGGUAAUUGCUUCUUCACUUUACAACAUUCCAGUUUAUGAACCAUUUCAUAGGAACACUCUACCUUUGAAUAGCAGGGAAACCUAUAUUGAGCCAGAAUUGAUUAAGGACAAGAGACAUGAGCGUGCUGAGAAUAGCACCCACACUUCCUAAAUGGAUGGGCAGUGGGGAGGCUCCCAUAAACUGACAACUGACUUUUCCAAAACAAAGUUAAUCACUAGUUAAGGCGCUACAAGUUUAUUAGUUUGAUAUCCCCACUAAUGAAAAUACUAGGAAAAUAUUUAAAAGUAUGAUCUUGAUGAUUACUGGGAUUUGGGGGUCAAGGCAACUUAGAAGUACAAUUGACUUUAAACAUAAGGUCAAAACAAUAAUACAUGCUCACAUUACAGAUGAAGGCAAUCCUGCACUGUCUUUUGGUAUUGGUAAGGAUGCAAUCAAUUUUUUGUCUUAAAGUCUCUGAUUCAGACCCCCACACUUGCCCAACCACACCAUCCCCACCACACUUUCAAACAUGCAGUGCCCUUUGCUUUCCUAAAUCUCAUCUCUUAUCCUCACCUCAAACUAAGCUCUCCCACAUCAAGUCCUUUCUUAUACACUCCAUCUACUUACCAACCUCCUGCCUUGCCCUUUGAACCCUUGUUUGACUCCUUGCCUUAUUUUCUCCAACUGGAAACCCUUCCUUGAUAUUCCCCUUGACCAUCAUCUACUUUGACCCUUCUUCCCUGCCCCCGCUCCGCUCCACCCAGCGUCCUACUUCGACCUCCUUCUCCUCUCCCUCUUAACCCUUCCUCGCUCUUUGAUUUCUCGUCGACCUUCUUCCACUACCCUCUCCCGGCUUGCUCCCCUCCGUAACAACUUGACACCCCCCCUCCUCUGCUCUCCUCGGGCCUGUGCUGUGGCCCGGCCUCUGCGCCCUGUACCCUUCGGACAGAGGACAACGGGUACAGGUGCAUGAGAGUAUCACCAUCUGCAGACUCCUGCUCCAAGCUGCACACUAUCUAGACUUGGGAGAUAUAUCGAUGUUCCUCCUUCACAGCUGAGUCUAAUCCUGAAAUGUCCUGGUCCUAUUCAACAGUAAUAUGGGAGCACCUUCACCAGAAGUUGCGCAGUGGUUCAAGCUAGCUCAGCACCACUUACAAAGGACUCCCAAGUGACUAUACCUGGCUACAAGGAAGAGAACACAACUGACUGCAAGAUAGGCAAGCACCAUGAAGAGCCAAACACCAGGAGAGAAAGGGUCCAGGAAGGAAAAAUAACCAGGUUUCCUACCCUGAAAUACAGCAAGGAAAGGAAUCAUUGGCAUGGGGUCGUUGCACUACACAAGAGCAGGAAUAACAAUAAACAACAUACAUAGCAACAAGAACGAGGUUUUAAACAGCUUGCCUUCUGAAUGUUUGGCCAUUUCAUCCGGCGACCAGCGUUUUAUUAGAGCAUCUACAACAAGUCAGGCCAUGGUCUGCAGUGUUCUGCUGGACUUCCCGCUUGCAAAAAUACAUUUUCUUGAAAAAUUCUCUAGUUGCCUGCACUUCAUCCUGGACUGCAAAUUGUAUUUGGCAUAAAGCCACCAAGUUCCUCAUGGAGUCCAACUGUUCUGCCAGCUCGCAGGCCAGAAAAACUGUCCCUCAACAAGUGCUGGGUGAAAUCCUCCAGCACAAGCAUCAUAACCUCCUUUCAAAUGGAUGGGAGACAUUUUCUCCUGGGAAAUGGUACUUACCCUCGAAAUCAGCUCACCAAUCAUUCCAGUCCAAGUGCCAUUGGUCUCUGCUACCCCAUAAACGCCAUCAGCUACCAGUUGGAUUUUGUAAUGAAACUUCAGGAUUUCUGAUAACUCCUUCAGC